rnacentral:rRNA from 1 species
ACGCUGGCGGCGUGCCUAACACAUGCAAGUCGAGCGAUGAAGUUCUUCGGAACGGAUUAGCGGCGGACGGGUGAGUAACACGUGGGUAACCUGCCUUGUAGAGGGGGAUAGCCUUCCGAAAGGAAGAUUAAUACCGCAUAACAUCUUUUUAUCGCAUGGUAGAAAGAUCAAAGGAGUAAUCCGCUACAAGAUGGACCCGCGGCGCAUUAGCUAGUUGGUGAGGUAACGGCUCACCAAGGCGACGAUGCGUAGCCGACCUGAGAGGGUGAUCGGCCACAUUGGAACUGAGACACGGUCCAGACUCCUACGGGAGGCAGCAGUGGGGAAUAUUGCGCAAUGGGGGAAACCCUGACGCAGCAACGCCGCGUGAAUGAAGAAGGCCUUAGGGUUGUAAAGUUCUGUUUACGGGGACGAUAAUGACGGUACCCGUGGAGGAAGCCACGGCUAACUACGUGCCAGCAGCUGC